rnacentral:rRNA from 1 species
UACGUAGGGUGCAAGCGUUAAUCGGAAUUACUGGGCGUAAAGCGUGCGCAGGCGGUGAUGUAAGACAGGUGUGAAAUCCCCGGGCUUAACCUGGGAACUGCAUUUGUGACUGCAUCGCUGGAGUGCGGCAGAGGGGGAUGGAAUUCCGCGUGUAGCAGUGAAAUGCGUAGAUAUGCGGAGGAACACCGAUGGCGAAGGCAAUCCCCUGGGCCUGCACUGACGCUCAUGCACGAAAGCGUGGUGAGCAAACAGG